rnacentral:rRNA from 1 species
UACGUAGGGCGCAAGCGUUGUCCGGAAUUAUUGGGCGUAAAGAGCUCGUAGGCGGUCUGUCACGUCUGCCGUGAAAACCCGAGGCUUAACCUCGUGGCUUGCGGUGGAUACGGGCAGACUGGAGUACUGCAGGGGAGACUGGAAUUCCUGGUGUAGCGGUGGAAUGCGCAGAUAUCAGGAGGAACACCGGUGGCGAAGGCGGGUCUCUGGGCAGUAACUGACGCUGAGGAGCGAAAGCGUGGGGAGCGAACAGGA